AUGAGAUCAGGUUGGUGAAUGGAAAUAGUCGCUGUUGUGGCAGAGUGGAGAUCCAGCACAACGGCCAGUGGGGAACAGUGUGUGAUGAUAGCUGGGACAUCAAUGAUGCUGAGGUCGUGUGCAGGCAGAUGGGAUGUGGCAAAGCGGUCAGCGCACAUAGCAGUGCCCAUUUUGGUCAGGGAAGUGAACCAACAUGGCUGGAUGACGUUGGAUGUAGUGGAACUGAGAGCCACUUAACUCAGUGUUCACACGGUGGAUUUGGAAAGGAGAACUGUGGACACGAAGAAGAUGCUGGAGUUGUUUGCUCAAAUGACCUGCCGAGUCCCUCACUCACCCUGACCUCAUCUCACUCUGCUGUAUCUGCUGGGAGAGGCUGUUCAGUUCAGAUGUGUCUCGCCCAGCCCAACCUACAUCUCUGCAAACUUCCAAUUGUACAGAAAUGGCCAAUCAAUAAAAUCCCAAACAGCUGAAUCUUCGACAACAUUUGAAUUGACUGUGGAUUCCUCACAUCAGGGCCAGUACAGCUGUGACUAUUCAUACCAGGGAAGCAGCUCCAUCACAUCCUCCAGGAGCAGCUCCAUAGAUCUCACUGUGGUAACUCUACCCGCACCAAGCAUCUCUCUCAGUCCCACCAAAGAGGUUUCAUGGGGAGAGGAGGUUGACAUCACCUGCUCUGUAGAAACCCAGUUCACAGGGGGAUCCUUCACUCUGAUACAGAACUCUGGAUCAUUUAGAGAGACCAAGAGUGGAACCUCCGUCACCUUCAGUUUACCAAAAGUGGACUUUAUUCAUGAGGGGUCUUACUACUGCCAGUACCAGACCAGAGUGUCCAGUCGUGAUUUCAGUUCUCCACACAGCAGCUUUGUUUAUGUCUUUGUUGAAGGUAACACUUUCUGUCUGUAAUCGAACACUGAGGGGUAUUUAAAUAAGGUUUAGAUUUAAAAUAAAGAUUUUCAGCUCUUUAAAUAUAUUUAUGCAGUUUGGCACUUAGAUAAAAAAAAUCUUGACAGAAUCUGAAAAUAUAAAAUUUGCUUAUUUUGAUUAAAUUAUAAGAGAGAAAAUUAAAUAAGAAGAGAGUAAUACGCUGCUUUUCCUCUUUUCAAACUAGAAUGUCAUGAUAUGUUUGUAAUGCACCUGCUCUGUUAUUGUAACUAAAAUGUCAGAGCUUAUAAAGAAUUACACAAUAUAAUAACAUAUUUUCAGGAACUCUCAUUUUGAAGUCUAAGGCAGUGCAUUAAAAAGAAAUUCCGCUUUUGUUUUCUAAAUUUCUGCAUAAUUCAGAGGUUGAGAUGUAAACAGUCAUUCAGAGUGGUUUGGUGUG